GCCUGGGUGGCUCAGUCGGUUAAGCGUCUGACUUCAGCUCAGGUCAUGAUCUCACAGCUCGUGAGUUCGAGCCCUGCAUCAGGCU
rnacentral:tRNA from 1 species